CCUACGGGAGACAGCAGUAGGGAAUAUUGCGCAAUGGGCGAAAGCCUGACGCAGCAACGCCGCGUGAAGGAGACGGUCUUCGGGGUGUAAAGCUCUGUUAGUGGGGACGAAAAAUGACGGUACCUACAGAGGAAGAACCGGCCAACUCCGUGCCAGCAGCCGCGGUAAUACGGAGGGUGCAAGCGUUGUCCGGAAUCAUUGGGCGUAAAGAGUUCGUAGGCGGCAUGUAAAGUCAGGUGUUAAAGGCGCAGGCUCAACCUGUGAAUGGCACUUGAUACUUGCAAGCUGGAAUGCGGUAGAGGUAAAGGGAAUUCCUGGUGUAGCGGUGAAAUGCUUAGAUAUCAGGAGGAACAUCGGUGGCGUAGGCGCUUUACUGGGCCGUAAUUGACGCUGAGGAACGAAAGCCAGGGUAGCAAAUAGGAUUAGAUACCCCGGUAGUC
rnacentral:rRNA from 1 species